rnacentral:rRNA from 1 species
AUUGAACGCUGGCGGCAGGCCUAACACAUGCAAGUCGAGCGGAGCGGCGGACGGGUGAGUACUGCCUAGGAAUCUGCCUGGUAGUGGGGGAUAACGUCCGGAAACGGGCGCUAAUACUGCAUACUAUCAGAUGAGCCUAGGUCGGAUUAGCUAGUUGGUGGGGUAAAGGCUUACCUAGGCCACGAUCCGUAGCUGGUCUGAGAGGAUGACCAGUCACACAGGGACUGAGACACGGACCAGACUCCUACGGGAGGCAGCAGUGGGGAAUAUGGUGCAAUGGGCGAAAGCCUGAUCCAGCCAGGCCGCGUGUAUGAAGAAGGCCUUCGGGUUGUAAAGCACUGUAAGUUGGGAGGCGUUACCAGCAGAAGAAGCACCGGCUAACUUCGUGCCAGCAGCCGCGGUAAUUC